AAGAAUGGUGGCAAUCUUCCUGAAACAUGUAUAAAACUGGGGGCACGUGCUGUUUUCCCUACUCUUAAAAAUAAGAAUCAGGAUUUGAUAACAAUCAUAGGGAAAGAGGAAGCUGUUAAAGAAGUGCAAAAAGUACUAGACCUUUUGAUGAAAGACUUAGAUCAUGUGGUGGAGGACAGCAUACUGAUAAAUCGCAAGUUUCACCAUUAUUUUGUCAUGCGAAGGGACCAGCUUAUAAGAGAAAUGACUGAAGUCUAUGCUGGUAUGAUAAUUCACUUCACAUAUGAAGGAAAACAGAGCAUUAGAGUUACAAUGAAAGGAGAAAAGGCUUGUGUUGAAGCAGCGAAGAAACACAUCCAACAUAUUUUUGAGCCCUUGGGUUCCCAUGUCACAACACAGUAUGUUAUUCCUCAAAAGUUUUAUACAUUUUUCAUGGGACCACUGUGUUCCAAAGUUCAGCAAAUUGCUAGAGAUUUCAAAGUUCAACUCGCAUUUCCAGACAAAGAAAAGCCAACUACGUAUAUACAUCCAGUGAUUCAGGAAGCUGAGAAAGAAAAGUGGGGAAAGAGCACUAAAGAAAUUGUUUUUAGUAACCAAAGGAAAAAUAAAACCAUACUCAUCUCAGGUCAAAUAGAAAAUUGCAAAGCAGCCAUGGAAGCUCUUGAAUAUCUAAUUCCUUUCACUGCUGAAGUCCAGGUGCCUUCUCACCUACAUCCUUACAUCAUUGGUCCCAAAGGAAGUGGGAUAAAGAAGAUAAUGAGUGAAUUUGAUGUUCAUACUCAGGUGUCACAAACUGGGAGCAAUUCUGAUAUCAUAUCCAUAAUGGGACUUGCUGCAAAGGUGAAGCAAGCCAAGGUUAAAUUAGAGAAGCAAAUUAAUGCUUUACAAACAGAAAUAGAAGAUCGAGCACUAAGAAACUUUAAGCUAAUGUUUACUCUAGAUGCAAAAUACCAUUCCACAAUCACUGGUCAUAAGGGCUUGUUUAUUGCUCAGAUUUGCAGAGAACAUGAUGUUACUAUCCAUUUUCCAAAGAAAGCAAACCGUGAGAUACAAGAUCAAAUCACAAUUACAGGCUAUAAAAAGAAUACCUUAGCUGCUAAAGAUGCAAUAAUGAGAAUGUUACAUAAGAUUGAAAAAACAGUUUCUAAGGAAAUCCCAAUAAACCCCCAGGUUCGUGACAGUAUUUUUGGAUUUGGUGGAAAAUUCAUCCAUAAAAUGAAUGAACAAUUCCAUGUAGACAUCCGGUUACCUCCAAAAGGAUCCUGGAAUACUAACGUUAGUGUGGUUGGACUGCCUGACAAUGUUCAGGAAGCAAUUGACCAUAUCUUUGAUCUUGAGAAGUAUUACCUUUCAGCCCUCAUAAACUAUGACUCUCAACUGGAAAGUCUUAAGAACACCUGUCUUUACAAGAUAACCAUGGAAUCACCUAACAAUUCUGUGAAAAAUGAUGGCCCUCAUAGUGCAAAAUCCUACCCAAACUCCUCAAAUGAUGAUUCUGAAGAUUUCCCCAAAUUGAAACAACAAACACCUUCUAAGACUCAUCCUUGGAGACCAUAAUGGAAAUCAUGAUUUAAAAAUUAAUAAAAAUUGUUCCAACCUGGUAUCU